UAUGUUUUACAGUGCUUAUCCAGUGACCUUUGGGGUAUCACAAUAGCAAUGGCCAAAACAGUUUACCAAAUUGCAGUUAGAUUUCUUCUCCAACUAACUGAUCAACUGGUAAAAUGUUUUAGCAGAUUGCUCAAGUGAAAUGUUGUUAGUAUGAAGUGAGUGCUGUGAAAUCAAAAGUAAUACUUACCAUCCAGAUCCAGUUAGUUGAUAUCUUUGUCAUUUGUUUCAAACACAAAAAUGACUUACUAUAGUAUGAGUCACUGAAUAAGAAGGUCUAAUUUUGACAUGGAAACUUCUAUCAUAAAUAGAUUUUAUAAAUAAAUAGUUCAAAC
rnacentral:lncRNA from 1 species